GGACGAACGCUGGCGGCGUGCCUAAUACAUGCAAGUAGAACGCUGAAGAGAGGAGCUUGCUCUUCUUGGAUGAGUUGCGAACGGGUGAGUAACGCGUAGGUAACCUGCCUUGUAGCGGGGGAUAACUAUUGGAAACGAUAGCUAAUACCGCAUAACAAUGGAUGACACAUGUCAUUUAUUUGAAAGGGGCAAUUGCUCCACUACAAGAUGGACCUGCGUUGUAUUAGCUAGUAGGUGAGGUAAUGGCUCACCUAGGCGACGAUACAUAGCCGACCUGAGAGGGUGAUCGGCCACACUGGGACUGAGACACGGCCCAGACUCCUACGGGAGGCAGCAGUAGGGAAUCUUCGGCAAUGGGGGCAACCCUGACCGAGCAACGCCGCGUGAGUGAAGAAGGUUUUCGGAUCGUAAAGCUCUGUUGUAAGUCAAGAACGGGUGUGAGAGUGGAAAGUUCACACUGUGACGGUAGCUUACCAGAAAGGGACGGCUAACUACGUGCCAGCUGCCGCGGUAAUACGUAGGUCCCGAGCGUUGUCCGGAUUUAUUGGGCGUAAAGCGAGCGCAGGCGGUUUGAUAAGUCUGAAGUUAAAGGCUGUGGCUCAACCAUAGUUCGCUUUGGAAACUGUCAAACUUGAGUGCAGAAGGGGAGAGUGGAAUUCCAUGUGUAGCGGUGAAAUGCGUAGAUAUAUGGAGGAACACCGGUGGCGAAAGCGGCUCUCUGGUCUGUAACUGACGCUGAGGCUCGAAAGCGUGGGGAGCGAACAGGAUUAGAUACCCUGGUAGUCCACGCCGUAAACGAUGAGUGCUGGGUGUUGGAUCCUUUCCGGGAUUCAGUGCCGCAGCUAACGCAUUAAGCACUCCGCCUGGGGAGUACGACCGCAAGGUUGAAACUCAAAGGAAUUGACGGGGGCCCGCACAAGCGGUGGAGCAUGUGGUUUAAUUCGAAGCAACGCGAAGAACCUUACCAGGUCUUGACAUCCCGAUGCUAUUUCUAGAGAUAGAAAGUUACUUCGGUACAUCGGUGACAGGUGGUGCAUGGUUGUCGUCAGCUCGUGUCGUGAGAUGUUGGGUUAAGUCCCGCAACGAGCGCAACCCCUAUUGUUAGUUGCCAUCAUUCAGUUGGGCACUCUAGCGAGACUGCCGGUAAUAAACCGGAGGAAGGUGGGGAUGACGUCAAAUCAUCAUGCCCCUUAUGACCUGGGCUACACACGUGCUACAAUGGUUGGUACAACGAGUUGCGAGUCGGUGACGGCGAGCUAAUCUCUUAAAGCCAAUCUCAGUUCGGAUUGUAGGCUGCAACUCGCCUACAUGAAGUCGGAAUCGCUAGUAAUCGCGGAUCAGCACGCCGCGGUGAAUACGUUCCCGGGCCUUG
rnacentral:rRNA from 1 species